UCAGACGAUGCGUCAUGCAUAUCAAUAAGCGGAGGAAAAGAAACUAACAAGGAUUCCCUUAGUAACGGCGAGUGAAGCGGGAAGAGCUCAAAUUUGAAAUCUUCAAGGUUUUACCUUGACGAAUUGUAGUUUAAAGGAAGUGUUUUCUGUUGAAGUUUUGGUAAAAGUUCUUUGGAAUAGGACAUCAUAGAGGGUGAGAAUCCCGUAUUUGACCAUUAUUUUCAGCUGUGUGAUACACUUUCAAAGAGUCGGAUUGUUUGGGAAUGCAGUCCAAAAUGGGUGGUAAAUUUCAUCUAAAGCUAAAUAUUGGCGAGAGACCGAUAGCGAACAAGUACCGUGAGGGAAAGAUGAAAAGAACUUUGAAAAGAGAGUUAAACAGUACGUGAAAUUGUCAAAAGGGAAGCGUUUGACACCAGUGUUGUUUUCUCGAAAAUCAAUUAAAAAUGGCUCGAUUUUGUAUUGCUGAGACCUUAAAAGUUCACUGUACAUUUUUCGUGUCUUUUUUAAUGCACUUUUCGUUUAACAAGUCAACAUCAGUUUCUUUUGUUGUAAAAGGGUCAUUGGAAGGUGGCUUUCUUUUCGGAGAAAGUGUUUAUAGCCUUUGACUCCUGCAAUCGGAGAGACUGAGGUCUGCAGCGUAGAUCCUUCGGGGUUAGAUACAGUUUGUGCUAAGUUAUAGCCUUUUUAUAGACAACUUGUUGACUAUGAUUAGUCUUGUAGCUUACUCGCUUAUGCUAUUUUACCUACGCUUAGGAUGUUGAGUCGUAGAGCACGCAG
rnacentral:rRNA from 1 species